UUCUAGAUUGUCCAACCAUGAUUGCAUUGGACUUUUGUAUAAGAAGAUAUGGUUGUUUUAAAUUUGGUCUGUUUAUGUUAGAAAGGUCAAAAAACGUGUGCUAGUUAAUUUGUCUAGGUUAGUUUGUCAAAGUCUGUUUUUUUGGGCUUGACUUCUGCCAUGUUGAAUUAUUCCUAACUUUGGAGGGAUGUUCCAAUUAUAAAUAUAGUAUCAGAAUAUGUAAUAAAGAACUUUUGGCC
rnacentral:lncRNA from 1 species